UACGUAGGCAGCGAGCGUUGUUCGGAAUUACUGGGCGUAAAGAGUGUGUAGGCGGUGUUCCCAGUCUGUUGUGAAAUCUCCCGGCUCAACUGGGAGGGUGCGCCGAAAACUGGAGUGCUGGAGCGCGGGAGAGGAAAGCGGAAUUCCUGGUGUAGCGGUGAAAUGCGUAGAUAUCAGAAGGAACACCCAUGGCGAAGGCAGCUCGCUGGCCUACAACUGACGCUGAGGCGCGAAAGCGUGGGGAGCAAACAGG
rnacentral:rRNA from 1 species